GAAACAGAAGUGUUUUCCUUCCUUUCUGUUCCAUACUUACUGCUGUUUACAGGAGGGCAUGUCUCACAGGGGUUUCCCCAGGCCUUCCCCAGGGAGCAGCAGCAGGAGGAGCGACUGACACCUACGCCGACCUCUGUGUUGCAGGACAGACUCCCGUCUCCUCGAGGACCAAACUUCAGGUAACAGUUGCCCACGCGGUUGUCUGCAGAGCAACAGAAGAGCUUAAAGUGGUCCCCACUGUGGGGAGAAAUUCUCAGGAAGGCAUUUAAAGGACCAAGUUCAAGAUUUUGUACGUUGACAGGGAAGGUACAUCCUAAUUCUUAGCACAAUACAAUCUUUUGCUAUAAACUUCGGCUUUUAAACAUCACAAGAUCAAGUCAACUGUAAAAGAUGGUGAGCAGCAGUCACUAGAAACCACAGAAUGAUUUCUGUCUAUUUGUGGUAUAAGCAAGAAAGUGAGGCAGUUCUUAUUUGGGGGCCCUCUGGACAUUUCAAGUAGUGUGAACAGAAGAGAAACUGGGGUGUUACUAAUCUGCCUCAUGAGUUUGUGAAGAAGUGGUGGCACACCUCGGAGACAUACAAAUGUAACUAAGUCCGUAACAUGUUAACAAUCUCAGUCUACCUUUCACCCACCCCUCCCGAUGGUUUUAUUUUAAUCUUCACUGCAACAGUUGCGGAUUGUUCAGUCUGGCAAACUGCAUCUCUCUGAAGACUGCCUGUCUCUAUUUACACUCAUCAUCUUGACCCCUGGCUUUAGAUGGUACUCCUCCCCCAAGUCCCACCCAUGACCUCAAGUUCAAAAUUCUCUCACCUUUCUUCUGAGUUCUAAACCUUUCUGCUUAUUUCUUUACUACUUGUUUCCAAGUCAACAUGCCCAACAACCAACCUGGACACUCCUCUCUCUGUGCUACCUCUCCCCCUGUCUUAGCGGCUUUCAAGCGAUGGAACUUCCCUUAUCUUUUUCAGCUGUCCAGCCUUGCUGCCAUUUCUAACCCUUUACACUCAUUCUCCUUUCACACCAGUAAUAAUAAGGCUUGCUAACUUUAUCUUCAAGAUGCAUCUGACGACUUACGUCACCGCUGCCUUUUCCCCUUAGCCUGAAUUCCCCAUAUCAGCAUUCUUUUUAAACCUAGAUGAUUGCAAUGGUUUCCCAACUCGUAUGUAUCUCAGCUUUCAUCUUUGGCCCAAGUCCAAUCUGUUUUUGUCUUUGUAGCCAAAGUAAUUCUUCAGAAGAACUGUUCUGGGCCAGGCCACGCCCCCUCCCCCCAAAGAGGUCUCAUCCCAACCAGAGUAUUUUGAAAGUUUUUAUGAGUCCACAAAGUACCUUUCACUUCUGGCUGAACACAGCACAGCCAUCUGGCUGCUUCUCGUGGUUAUACUUCAAUUUUUUUCGGUUGCCAAAUCUUGGGUACAGAGACCCAAGUUAACUCAUGGUCCCUCCCCUAUUAGGUUUGAAUUCAUUCGACAUUCCUUCCUUUCUCUUUCCCCCUUUCAAAUCUUCAUUCUCCAUUCCUGAUUUUCUUUUCCUCCUGGACCAUUCCAAUGACCUGAUAAUAGCUUCUGUGUGUGCUCUCAUAAAAACGGUUUUUAAUGCGUCCAUUAAAAAUUUCAGUAAAUUACAUUUUUGUCACGUAUCUGACAUGCUUGCUCUUUGGACAAACUGUGCAUGAAUUCUAUGAUAUCCAAAUGCUUAUAAUUCUCGUUUGUUUUGAGAUGAGGUUAUAUCCUGCAGCAUAGGCGAGACUCUAAUACACAAUCCUCCUGCCUCAGCUUCUUGAUGGCUUGGAUUGCAUUUAAAAACAUCUGCACAGUUGAUUAAAUUGGUUUCUUAAUCUGUAUCACCACAAAUCUUACCCACAUCUGUCAAAGAAUCAGUGUGUUAAUAUCUUCGGCAUAUGAAGCCAGACAAAUUUAUGGUUUGUAGGUUCUUCAGAAGUUAAGGCCAUUGUUCUUUAUUAUCUGCAUUCAGCAGAUCCUUUUUAAUGUUUUAAAAUAAUUUUAAAAAUAGAGUUUAUAGAAGAGCAAAUCUAUACUGAAAAAAACUCAUUAUUUUAGUAAGGACUUAGUCACUACUCAUGUAAAUAUUUAUUACCUCCUUUCUUGGUUUUGUACUCAAAAUUGUCCUAUUAUAGUUCAUUGUCGAGAGUUGAAAUAUUCAACUUUACGUGAUUCUAUUUAUUUCACUUAGCUUUCACUUACCAACGCAACCCACGCCAGUGGGGUUCAGCUGGAAGUCAGGCGGGCAGUUACACUCAUAGCGACCAGGCGUGUUCACACAUAGGCCAUUGACACAGUUUAUGGGGUCUGCGCACUCAUCAAUAUCUGUGAACAUUCCAGAUGCCCGUGUUAACAUCUUUACUUCCAUAUACAAAGUGCUGUUCCAAGAAACUGAGUGGACCUCUCUCCCAGGUUACUAAAGGUCACUGUGAAGGACUCAGCUAACUAAAGACUAAGAUUCAUCCUAAACACAAAAUAGGUUCUGCAAUGGUAAGGAUUUAAUGGAUGCUUGGUGCAUCUCUGUCUCUCUGUCUCUGUCUCUCUGUCUCUGUCCCUGUCUCUGUCUCUCUCUCUCUCCCUCUGUGUAUGUGUGUGUGUGUGUGUGUGUGUUUGCAGAAUGUAGGGAGGCAGGAGACAACAGUAUUAUACUAUAUAGUCCUGGCUCACUUGAAAUUCACUAUGUAGAAUGUCCUGGAACUCAUAGAAAAUUAUAAUAUUUUCAACAAUGUCAUUUAAUAUCCUAACAUAUAACCAAUAACUAAAAGUUGCAAUUCUGAGGAAGAAAUUUAAGUGCUCCACAGGUUCAGAAUCACUAUUCAGCCCAUAUAGAAGUUCACUGAGAGGCACAGACCAUGGUCCUAGUUAAUUUUAGUAUGUGAUGGCUUUUAACUACAGGUUGUUUAUAGUAAAUUUUAUUUAAAAAAAUAAGAAAUGUGAUAUAUACGUAAAAAUUCACAUACACACAUAUGUAAUUACUGUUUUUGUUUUAAAUAAUGAAGCUGCUUAUCUAAACACAAAUGCGUUUCAUUGUAGAAGGUGAAUAUACCAGAGUAUACUUUUCUAUUUUGGAAACAUGCACAGCCUAAUGUACAGAUAUUUCCGGAAAACUCUGAGGAGUUUAUAUGUUUAGCAUGGAGUACUGGUGCCAAGCAAUGAAACACAGUUGAUCCUGGCUGUCCUCACCUGUACAGUUUCCUCCUGUCCUGUCCAGUUCAUAACCAUCAUCACAGAUACAGUGAAACAUCCCGGGCAAGUUGUUACAGGUUCCAAAGACACAGAUAUUUUGGAAGGAGCAUUCAUCAAUAUCUGAAG
rnacentral:lncRNA from 1 species